UGCAGCGUAUGUAAGAUGACUAUUAUGUGGUCUCUGGUGAGCUGAUCUCUUGACGGCAAAUGAGGAUGUCCGUAUUAAAAAGUCACCCCUGUACUACAGAGAAAUCUACAAUGAUGAUUUCCUAUCUUCAUUUUGUAUAAUGGGGUAGAUCGAAGACACACGACCCCGCCUACCUUUACAAAAAGGCUCCAACACAAUUAUAGCAUGCAUGUUUGACGCUCAUAGAUCAGGUAGUACCUUGGGGCUCUGUCUAACAUGACACAGGGCUAUACUUACAGUUCAGGUUACUUUUCUUCACCAACCUGACUGAGGCAUGUGAGGCACUUCCUCUCCCCUCAGAGCAGAGGCGGGAGGUUCCUGUUCAUCAGGGCCACCACACCACGGCCCCUGGCCAAGGUCACCUGUCAUACCACCACUUCCGGGCUCAACCACACGGCCCUGGAGCUGUCUGCUGCAUGGGGGACAUGCUAUACCGUAGAAGCCAUGCUAUACCAAAUGUGGUAUGCAGUGCACUCCUCCCUCAUCACGGCUCUCUAGUGUUCCCUCUCCCAGUCAGAACAACCCAGACGGGCUCUACUCCUCUUAUCAGAUGGAGCCAGGCAGGCAGGACAGGACGGGGCCAGUGUGGAUCCAGCUGCUCCCAGGAGCAGGGCGCAGUCCCACUUAAUAGGUCUUCCCGGCAUCCCAGGCCUCGCCCCACUGGCAUCCCAGUCACAGCCAGGCAGGCUACUCCGUGGGUGGCACGCCUUGGAAACAGGCGGCAGAGACAGAGGAGGUGGGUACGGGGGAGACUGGUAAAGACAACCCAGUCCGCCUGGUGUUCCAGAGAACUUUGCCGUUAGACCAAUUGCUUCCCGAGGACCAGUAAAAAGCAAUGGCUCCGACAUGGAGUCCCAUGACGCAUCAUGCUGAAUCUGAUCAGAACAUAUUGAGAGUUCAAAUGACACUUGCUUGAAUAUGCAGCUUGAGCUACAUCGAAAUGUUGUCAACGUUGAGCGAGUUUCUGUUUUCAUAUUGGUGGUGCUACCUGCUUAGAAGGCCGGUCAGGGUCUUGGUGUUCUAAAUCAUCCUAAUUGAUGGGUGUCGGAUGUGUUAGUAUUAUCAUAGGUGC
ensembl:lncRNA